rnacentral:lncRNA from 1 species
AAGCCUAUGCCACGUGUUAAUUGAUACUACAUACAAGAAUCUCCCUUUUAACAUUGUUCCAAUAGGAAUCAAACUAGUGACUUUAACUUUGAUACUAAUUGUUGAAAUGAGCACUUACCAUUGGAUAAAAAACUAUAGCUAAUAGUCAGAGUACAACUCUUCUACUUAAGAGCGUAACAACCCAAACACCACAAAUUGAUUGUGACCUGGUGAUGUGAGUUGAUUUUAGGAUUGCACAUUUUAAUUGGUUGCUCUUGUUUAUGAUUUUGAGAUUAGAAAUUUAAGGUGAGAACCCUAAAAAGACCCCCACUGGACAUGAACUUAACCAAGUAGUUAAGUAAGUGUGAAGGUUCACCAAGGGAAAAGAGUAAAACACAAGAAUAAGGUGAUUAUGAUGCAAGGGGUGGAAUUUAAGAACAAUGGAAAUAAAGGAUGAAUGAAGGUGACCAAAAGGAAAUGACAUAAACAAGAACAUAAGCAAAUAACAUAAAUGGCACAAGGAAGGAUGGAAAAAGAGAUGAGGUAAAGGAAGCUUAUGGUGACAAUGGUGAAGAUGAACACGCCACUUGGAGGGUGGGGACUCCAAGAUAAGUGAGGAAGAGUCGCCACUUGAAAUGCUCACACACUCAAGAUAAUACCUAAAAUAUUUAGGAGACAA